GACGUAGGGCGCGAGCGUUGUCCGGAUUUAUUGGGCGUAAAGAGCUCGUAGGCGGCUUGUCGCGUCGUCCGUGAAAACCUGCAGCUCAACUGCAGGCUUGCGGUCGAUACGGGCAGGCUAGAGUUCGGUAGGGGAGACUGGAAUUCCUGGUGUAGCGGUGAAAUGCGCAGAUAUCAGGAAGAACACCUAUGGCGAAGGCAGCUCUCUGGGACGGUACUGACGCUGAGACGCGAAAGCGUGGGGAGCGAACAGG
rnacentral:rRNA from 1 species